rnacentral:rRNA from 1 species
UGGGGAAUUUUGGACAAUGGGCGAAAGCCUGAUCCAGCAAUGCCGCGUGUGUGAAGAAGGCCUUCGGGUUGUAAAGCACUUUUGUCCGGAAAGAAAUCCUUGGCUCUAAUACAGUCGGGGGAUGACGGUACCGGAAGAAUAAGCACCGGCUAACUACGUGCCAGCAGCCGCGGUAAUACGUAGGGUGCAAGCGUUAAUCGGAAUUACUGGGCGUAAAGCGUGCGCAGGCGGUUUGCUAAGACCGAUGUGAAAUCCCCGGGCUUAACCUGGGAACUGCAUUCGUGACUGCAAGGCUAGAGUAUGGCAGAGGGGGGUAGAAUUCCACGUGUAGCAGUGAAAUGCGUAGAGAUGUGGAAGAAUACCGAUGGCGAAGGCAGCCCCCUGGGCCAAUACUGACGCUCAUGCACGAAAGCGUGGGGAGCAAACAGGAUUAGAUACCCUGGUAGUCCACGCCCUAAACGAUGUCAACUAGUUGUUGGGGAUUCAUUUCCUUAGUAACGUAGCUAACGCGUGAAGUUGACCGCCUGGGGAGUACGGUCGCAAGAUUAAAACUCAAAGGAAUUGACGGGGUCAUAGCUGUUUCCU